rnacentral:rRNA from 1 species
UACGUAGGUGGCAAGCGUUGUCCGGAUUUACUGGGCGUAAAGGGCGUGCAGGCGGUUUGUUUAGUCUAGGGUGAAAGCUCCCGGCUUAACCGGGGAACUGCAUCUGAUACUGGAUGGCUUGAGUUCGGGAGGGGGAUGCGGAAUUCCAGGUGUAGCGGUGAAAUGCGUAGAUAUCUGGAGGAACACCGGUGGCGAAGGCGGCAUCCUGGACCGACACUGACGCUGAGGAGCGAAAGCCAGGGGAGCAAACGGG